CCUACGGGAGGCAGCAGUGAGGAAUAGUGGUCAAUGGGCGAGAGCCUGAACCAGCCAAGUCGCGUGAAGGAUGACGGCCCUACGGGUUGUAAACUUCUUUUGUCAGGGAGCAAGUGAGUCCACGUGUGGGCUUAGCGAGAGGACCUGAAGAAAAAGCAGCGGCUAACUCCGUGCCAGCAGCCGCGGUAAUACGGAGGAUGCGAGCGUGAUCCGGAUUUAUUCGGUUGAAAGGGGGCGUAGGCGGAAUAUCAAGUCAGCGGUAAAAAUUCGGGGCUCAACCCCGUCGUGCCGUUGAAACUGCUGUUCUUGCGUGGGCGAGCUGUAUGCGGAAUGCGUGGUGUCGCGG
rnacentral:rRNA from 1 species